CCCAAAUAACAGCACCAGCAGUGGACGUGGCAGAUAUUUUAGAGCACGUAGGGUAUACUGAGAAAUUAUUUUGCAAUUAGCAGCAGCAUGUAGCAAUGGUCCUGACUGCACUAAUCAUCUAAUCACUAAUCAUCACCCAAUCACUCUGCCCAAUGCUCCAGUGACUCCAUUUAAGAGGGCUCCCAGUUCCUCUUCCAUUUGUGUUGUGGGCAAUGUUGUAUUCAGGAGGACAAGGCCACUCCAGCACAGCUGCCUUCCUGAGACCAACCUAUUCCCCUGCCACCUCAGGCAGCAGCCCUACUGUGGUGCUUUUGGACAGAGGAGGUGCCAGGGGACUAUCGGUUGUUUCAUCCCUCCUUCCCAUGGCUGACCUGGAGAGACUUUGCUCCCCCAGCUCUGAAAAGGAGAGUGGGAUGUCUGCAGAGCAUGGCCUGGGCAGAGCUGGUAUUGGAGAUGUUGUGGUAGAGCGGGCACAGAAUAACUCUGACAGACUCCUCAUAGCUCCUGUCCAAACAGCAUUGCUCCUCAAAGUGUGCUUGGCUGCUAGCUUUCUCUCAAUCAAGAUGUAACUAUGCACAAAGCUCUGCUGUAUCACCAGAGUGUAAUUAACCAUCGUCCAGAAUGAUGAUUGCACGUUGCUUAAACUACAUACUCCCCUAGCUGAAAACAAAGCCAGGAAGUAGGAUAUCUAUGACCUACAAAAAUAAGGACCAAAAAAUUUACCUCCAACGCAAGUGUGACUUCUAAGUCUAGUGUGAAUCCUCUACUGAUUUGAUGUGGAAAGGGACAAGAUAGUAGAUACUGAUCACAAUGCAAAUAUCAGAGGUAGAUGAAACAGUGAGAGUAGCUUUAAAUCAUUAAAAAAAAAAAAAAAACCAUACACUAG